GGUUGAACGGAUAUGGAAAAAACCUAAAAAUGGGGAGGAAAUUUCAGUUUGAACGAUCGAAAAGGAGAGAAAUUUCCAAUCACCACCGCCGCAAUCCAAGCUCUGCCACGGCAUCUCCACCUCGUGCGCCACUUAGCUGACUGACGCACCUCCCAUUCCCGCGCGGCCCUUCUCCGCCCCAGAUCUCCUCUCUUCCUCACGCCGCCCGCCCAAGCCACCAUCAGUCCGCAUUCGCUGCUGUUGCUGUCUGCCAUCGUCACCACCAUACACAACCUCCUUGGCCGCUGCCGCUCUCUGCAAAUCUAGAUGAAAGCUCUCAAACGAAGUCAGACUUCGUCAUCUUCCAAUUCCAGAAUGAAAGAGUCAAGAAGAAAGGGACGCCAUUCUGGAUACGAGCUUAUUCGAAUAAUCUCCUACUGCCAUGUUUUUAUCCUGCACAAGAGGUAAUGCAAUUUUAUGUUUAAGCCAUAUGAAUUUUAUGUAUCAUUAAAGAUAUAAUCUAGACAGAGUCAUAAAUGAACUACUCUGAUGGAACUAAAAGGAAUAUAAUAUUACAGUAUAAAUUGAGUUAGAAUUGGCCCAGCAAGAAGCAAAUAAAAACUACUUUCUCCGCUAUAAAAUAUGCAAUUUGCUGGUAGCUAUGCUUGAUAUGCACAUGCAAUGGUGAUGACGUUCUUUAUUGCCAUGGCGUUGUAUGUGUCAAAAUCAACUGUAAAUUAAGCUCUUGUAUGCUGAAACCAAAACUUUACACAUUAGACAAAAUUAAGAAUGACACCAUGUAAAAAUAGGAACGAAAUAUGUGAUAAGUUUUGAAGCCAAAAAUAUUGAAAUUUGAGAAAUAAAAAUGAAAGAACUAACAUUUCCAUGGGAAACAAAUAUGAAAAAGAAAUUAUUGAUUAAGUAAAGAGGCCAAUCGAUCUCACAAUUAUUGAUCACUAUACCAGGGAAAGAUAAAUGAUAGCAAAUAGUAAAAUAGUUCAUAUCCACACUGUUUGUGGUUGCAAAACCAUACCUUGCUUCUUGAUAAGAAUUCAUGAGAAAAGUCUUGUAGUAGCCAGCCAACUCAAGCAGUUCAUCAACUUUCUCACUUUUCUUCCCAAAAUUUCAAAAGCAAAUUCAGUAAGCACUAUAUGAUUGAUAGCAACAAGUGAUUAUUCAAAAAACAACGAGUGAAGGAAAUGCAAAGGGAUUUAGAAAUUUGAGGGAUGAAAGCAAAUGAUCCUAAGAGGGUUCAGCACAUGCAGUCCUCAACCAAGAGACGUUGAAUUUAGGCGAAAACUUGCUAUUCAUCAAGAAUGACAGUAAUACCUAUACAUUAUUUGGAAACAAGCGCAAUCAAGUCAUCCAUGUGGUUUCCAUCAUUUGAUAGAAAGGCAAUGAGCGGACAGAAUGACUUGGAAUUCAAGAAAAAAUCAAGCUAACAAGAAUACUUAAAACCAAGAAAAAAUGUAAGCCACCGACCAACUUGAUAUGAACUAUUUAAACUAUCAAUGAAAUAGCAAGUUGAAGUUCCCAUGGAUUACAUCAUCUUCAUUAAGAAAAGGCAUAAGAUCAUUACAUGCAAUCUUGGACCAAUCAGUAAAGUCAAGAUCAACUGAAAGCUUUUAAUGCAGAAAUUAUUAAUACAAUUCCAUAAGGCUUCCACAAAUAUGCCUUUUUGAAAUAGAAACAGGGUUGCAAUGUAACAAUUCUUAGAUCUCGAUUAAAUUCGGAAUUUGUAUUAUAGGUCCAAUUAAAAACAAAAGCAAAAAUUUUUUUGGUCGAAUAAAUUGAGGAAUUUGUAUCAGUUAAGUUUCUUUAGAAAAAGUAACAAGUAACCGAGGAUAGCAUAAGGUAAAUAAGUACCUAUUUAACUCAAAUUCUGAACUACAUCAAUUCAAAAGAAAACCAUGACUUGCAUUCCGAAUCCAAAGCUAGUCCGAGGGUCUUGUAAAGGGUUUGACUUGGCAUCUGGACUGUUAUAUCCUUCAAUUUUAGUUUGUAAAGAACCACAUUGAUCAUCUUCCAGUAGCUCAAAGACAAUAGUGCCAGGCUAAUUGUGAUAUUUCCAUCACCACAUACCUCGACUAAUUUUUUCACCAUAAGGUGUCAGUUUAGAUUCUUUAUCCACUUCUUCACCUUGAAAUCCAUAAACAGCCUCCAAUGACUUACCCAAAAUCCAUCAAUAGUUGUGCAAAGAAUAAACUGCUAAAUAAAUUUGAAAAAAAAAAAA